rfam:Oryza barthii chromosome 6, whole genome shotgun sequence.
ACAAACUGUCCGUCUUAUAUGUAAUUCUUUUAUAAUUAGUAUUUUUGUUGUUGUUAAAUGAUAAAACAUGAUUAAUACUUUAUGCGUGACUUAUUUUUUUUAUUUUUUUCAUAAUUUUUUAAAUAAGACAGACGGUCAAAUGUUAGCACGGAAACUCACAG